UACGUAGGUGGCAAGCGUUGUCCGGAAUUAUUGGGCGUAAAGCACGCGCAGGCGGUCCUUUAAGUCUGAUGUGAAAGCCCACGGCUCAACCGUGGAGGGUCAUUGGAAACUGGGGGACUUGAGUGCAGAAGAGGAAAGUGGAAGUCCACGUGUAGCGGUGAAAUGCGUAGAGAUGUGGAGGAACACCAGUGGCGAAGGCGACUUUCUGGUCUGUAACUGACGCUGAGGCGCGAAAGCGUGGGGAGCAAAC
rnacentral:rRNA from 1 species